CGAAAUCCGGACCGCGUACAAACGCCCGAUCCGUGUGCGACGAGUCGUGCUUUUUGCGGACGUUGCGGUUCGCGCCGAAACAGAAACUCGCCGAACGAACACUCGCGGUUAUCGUUAUUAUUGUGUACCGACGGAUUGGGCGAGAGAAAUGUUACGCCGGCGCCACCGUCGAAGGAGCGCAUAGAGAAUAUCGCGGUAACGCGUGAAAGUGAACACGGACCUCUGCACGGGGACCAAAACGAAACGAAAACAAAAGUCGUUUAAUCGGUCGU